GAGCACAGGAUGACCAUGGGGCACUGGCAGGACCCUGGCAUGAAGGAGAAUCCUCCUUGGAGAAACCUUCUGAGGGAUGAUAGCCCUGCUGGCCCCACUGCUGCCCUAAUGAGGAUUCCACUGGGGUGUGCCUGGAGGGCUGCAAUGGUCUGGAGAGCUCAGUUCUGCUCAGCACAGCCUGUCUGAGUCCUCAAGCAGCUCCCAGCCACAGUCUCUUCAAUUCUCUGUUGAAAAGGACAUCCACAAAAAAACCCCAAACAAACCAACCAACCAAACCAUCCUGAAAUGAGGCAGCUUUAAAAGCCAAAAUUAGACAUUUAUCUCUUAUUUGCCUCAGGAAGAAAGGGGAAACAGGGGAGUGAAGCAAUGGAAGCUAUGAAUGCUCAUAAGCAAGAAUGGAACAGUCAGUCAGCUACAAAAUGACUCCCUGCAGGAUGCAGCAGCUUGGUUUUGCCAAAAAGUCAUCACCAAAAAUGCAUCCUGGGAGAAAAAUUCCUCUAAGUGCCCACCUUUCUCCUGAGGAGAGAUAUUAUGAACUAUAAAAAUUAUGUGCUGCUUCUGUUUCAUGAACAUUACAUAAUUGCCAGACUAAAUAGCCAGAAUAAACAGAGAACAGACAUUUUUACUGGGCUUUGGAAGAAUAAAGCCAUAAAGAAAAUAACUCCAUGAAAUUUACAGGAGAGACCCAUUUCAGACCAUAUGUUGGGAAGGAGCUACAUCCAAAUGUAUGAGUCGAUGUGUUAGCAAAGUGUUGCAUGUGGAGUUUGUGAGCUUGGGACUGUUGGGGGCUUGGGUUUCUCAGCACUUUUAUGCUGGUCUACUUUUAUCUUUCAAAACGUGGCACAUCUACUUGACUUUCUGCAGCAGGAAUUUUCCUCCCACUCUUCACUGUGAAUCUGUGUAGAGAAAUGAAAAAAAUACUUGACUUAC